rnacentral:rRNA from 1 species
CAGUCGCCGCGGUAAUACGAAGGGGGCUAGCGUUGUUCGGAUUUACUGGGCGUAAAGGGUGCGUAGGCGGACUGAUAAGUCAGGGGUGAAACCCCAAGGCUCAACCUUGGAACUGCCUUUGAUACUGUUAGUCUUGAGUUCGAGAGAGGUGAGUGGAACUGCGAGUGUAGAGGUGAAAUUCGUAGAUAUUCGCAAGAACACCAGUGGCGAAGGCGGCUCACUGGCUCGAAACUGACGCUGAGGCGCGAAAGCGUGGGGAGCAAACAGGAUUAGAGACCCCGGUAGUCCCUGUCUCUUAUAC